UACGUAGGGUGCGAGCGUUAAUCGGAAUUACUGGGCGUAAAGUGUGCGCAGGUGGCCGCGCAAGUCGAGUGUGAAAUCUCCGAGCUUAACUUGGGAAUUGCGCUCGAAACUACGUGGCUCGAGUGUGGCAGAGGAAGGUGGAAUUCCACGUGUAGCGGUGAAAUGCGUAGAGAUGUGGAGGAACACCGAUGGCGAAGGCAGCCUUCUGGGCCAACACUGACGCUCAUGCACGAAAGCGUGGGGAGCAAACAGG
rnacentral:rRNA from 1 species